rnacentral:lncRNA from 1 species
AUGACGGAAAUAUUUUAUUUUAAGCUUCUACAUGGUACAUUCAUUGAAAUAAAGCUCUCCAGCUCCGGGCUUCUGUGCGUCGGGAGUGCGGUGGCGGUGAAUUGUUCGUGUUCUCCUUCACUAAGCCUGCAACAGUUGCCUUGCCUCUCCCUCGAACUGAGAUGGGCCGAAGUCAGAGUGUAGCAGCUACAGCAGCAGCCAACAGCCAUAGACACAAGAAGACAAAACUGACGGGAAGGUGAAGAGAAAUUCCUGUUGAUAGGAAAACUGUCUCGUCAGAGUUUUUCUAACCAGUGUUCUGACUUUUCUAACCCACGCCAGGCAACUGCUUUCAUUGCAAAGGGCAGCAUCUGUCAUCACAAUGAAGCAGGCCUUGUUUUAGAUGCAUGCUUUUCCAUGUGCUGUGCUCUAGAUACGAUGCUGUGCCUUGUGCUACCAGUGCACACUUCCCUUUUCACACUGUGAUUUUGUCAGCAGCAUGUGUUAUUUUUAAAUUGUAGUUUGAUUAAAUUUUCAUUAAGCUGAAAAAUUUGGACUAUCUGUGUCAGUGUAUUUGGGCUCUAAAUAAUGAUAAAAUAUUUCUUCAUAAAUAGAAAGUGAAUCAUUAUGUCAAAGAAUACAUUCAAUAUAGGAUGCCAAAAGUGGCAGUGUCCACACUGGAACAUCUUAGGUCCUUUGAUGACUCAUUCAUUAUUAGACAAUCAGUAAUAUAUAAUCUAUUUGCAAUCAAGAAGCUUCGGGAAAGAUGGCUAGAUGUGCAUAAUCUGGGAACUUUAAUUAAUGUUUUCCUCAUCAUUGUCCCAUAAAUUAUUUUGUCAGGUGAUAAUAGCCUUUCUCAAAAGCUGGCUUCAACUCUGUGCCUCAAACUUCCAAAGAAAAAUGAUAUAAUAAUUCUUAUCAAUUAUACCAACUCUGACCUUAAGAAGGCUGUUUUAAAUAGGAAAAAAAAAAGCUUUGGGUGACUAGUUCGUGAAGUAUCAGUUUAUUCAUUCUCUCCCUUUGAAGGAUUUGUACUACUUCUACUUGGUGCAACCUGAUAAUUAAUUUGGAAUUAUCUUUAAAGAACUGAGGCAAGAUUAAUGCUUCCAAUGUAAGUUAAAAUGAAUAAGAAAUAUCUUCUCUGAGAGAAAGAACUCUGCUGUAUUAUCUGAUAGCCUCGCUACUAGAGAAACGUAAUCACUGACAAAUAAUGAUAACCUUAUUUACCAAAUGAUUUUUCAUUAACAAAAGCAACACUAGUAAAAAAAACAGAGAAAUAAACAUCAUAUAGAAAUUGAAAGCA